GGAGAGAUGCCAGAGCGGUCGAACGGGGCGGUCUCGAAAACCGUUGUAUCUUUACGGGUACCGGGGGUUCGAAUCCCUCUCUCUCCG
rnacentral:tRNA from 1 species